GUAAAUAAUAAUUAUCACAAUCUUUUUGAUUGUGGAAUUGGGCCUUUAUUUCAUCAAUGAUUUAUGGCCUCAAAUUUACGUUACCGCUUGUUUAAUAUGAAAUUCGACCGAAUGGAGCAAUUAAACAUUCUCUCGUUAGGCGGAUUCUCAUCAAGCAAUUACGAUUUUUGGCCGCCGAAGGACUUUUUAACAAGUGCUUGGCCGAGAUCGUGAGUUUUUUUUAAC
rnacentral:misc_RNA from 1 species